rnacentral:rRNA from 1 species
AAGUAUUAAUUUAAAAUUUGAUGAAUAGGGAGUUUUGAUUUAAUUGAAAUAACAUUAAUUAUGUAUGUUUUAGUAUAGUAAUAGAACAAAUUUAUUUAUUUGUAGUGGAGUAGUACUGUGAAGGGAAAUUGAAAAAGUUGAAAAUAAAUUUUUAGAAAAGUAAAUUAAUAUUGUACCUUGUGUAUCAGGGUUUAUUAAAAUUGGAAUAGAGAUUUAUUUUUCCCGAAUUAAAAAGAGCUAAUUUGUUAUGUUGGUUAGUGUGGUACUAUUAUCAUGAAUAGCAAGUUUGUAAUGAAAUAUUAGUCGGUUUUUAAGAUAUCUGGUUCUUCAAGAAAUGAAUUUAAUUCAGUAUUUAAUAGUAGUUUUUAUAUUAAUAUAUUGACUAUUAAUUGAGUAUAAUAUUUUAAGGGAUAAGCUUUAGAAUAGAAUUUAUAAUUAUUGUAGAAUUAUAAAGAAGUGUAGGCUUUAAAUUAGCCAUCAGUUGAAUAAUGUUAUAAGUUAUUUUAUUGUAAUAUGAUUUUAUAAUAAUAUUAAGUUGAGUAUUGAAGUGAUUUAUGUAAUAUAAAUGUAAAUGUAAUAAUGAUAAAAUUAGUAUAUAAAGGUGUAGGACGUUUAGUAUAUGUAAAUUUACAUGAAGGAACUAGGCAAUAUUUAAUGUUCGCCUGUUUAUCAAAAACAUGUCCUUUUGGGAUGAAUUUAAGGUCGGGCCUGCCCCCUGAUGGUAAAAUUAAAGGGCCGCGGUAUUUUGACCGUGCAAAGGUAGCAUAAUCAUUAGUCUUUUAAUUGAAGGCUGGAAUGAAUGGUUUGACGAAACAUUAACUGUCUCCGUGUAAUAAAUAGAAUUUAACUUUUGAGUCAAAAGGCUUAAAUAAAUAUAAAAGACGAGAAGACCCUAUAGAUCUUUAUAUGGAAUUGUGUAUAUUUUGUUUGGUGGUGUUAUUAAUAUGUAUUCUACCGUAUUUUGUUGGGGUGACACAAAGAUAAGAAUAACUCUUUGUUUUAUAAACAUUGAUUUAUGAAUAUUUGAUCCGUUAUUAACGAUUAUAAGAUAAAGUUACCUUAGGGAUAACAGCGUAAUUUUUUUUGAGAGUUCAUAUCGACAAAAAAGAUUGCGACCUCGAUGUUGGAUUAAGGAAUAUGAUUAGGUGUAGAAGUUUAAUUAAUAAGUCUGUUCGACUUUUGAAUCCUUACAUGAUCUGAGUUCAGACCGGCGUAAGCCAGGUCGGUUUCUAUCUUUAUAAUAAGUGAAUAUUUUAGUACGAAAGGACCAAAUAUUCGAAAUAAUUUUUAAUAAAGAUGAUAAACACUAAGU